CACUGCUCAGCCUAGGGAGCCACUGCAUGCAUUUUCGGAAAACUGACUUUUCCUUUUUUGCUGGUCCUAGUUGGCAACUGCACUAGUGAUAUCAAAGCACAUAAACUCUGGAAUGUUCAAGUGGCUCCCUUUAAUUUCUGCCUACCCCAGGACUGUCACAAAAUUGUGUUUCUUUUUUCUUCUCUGUCUUCCUUCCCUUACUCCCAGGCACAGCAUCUGUGUACCAGGUACUUACUGCCACACGUGAAGCACCUGAGAAUCUAUGAGGACAGUGCUGGGCCCAAGUGGGGACAGGGAUCCCAGGGGUGCAAGGCUGCACUGGCAGCUCCUGAGGGCACCCAUGGGGGCCAGUGUGGGAGGAAGAAGCCGAGGAGAACAUGCACCAAAGCUGGCACAGGAUCCACCGCCCACCAGACAGCUGUGGCCGAAGCUGAUCGGUCCAUCGGUGGUCUGCAAAGGAAGCAGUCAGCCUUGACGUGUUCAGACUGAGGACACGGUUACCCUGGCAACAGGCCCCUCCUUGUGACCCCUCUCCAGACUGCGCCUGGGCCUCCUUUGAAAACAGAAACCGAGACAAACAAAAACUUACUGUCUUCCAAUUAAAAUAAAAAUCCCCAUUUUCUUGCACUGACAAGAAUAUAAUUCCAACAGUUUCAGUCCCUCUCCAUGACACAGGGUGUUACCGUGGGUCUGAGAAGCCACCCACUCCGUCCCCAGAAUCUGUCACCCGAC
rnacentral:lncRNA from 1 species